UCAAGCAAAACCCUAAAACAUUUGUCAACAAUAAUGUAAAACCCUAAUUCAAACAAAUCCAUCACCUCUUCCAUUGUUGCAUUCUAUCAGAAACAAAUCGGAGCUCAAACUGAACUCAACUAACUCGCCUGAAAUCUCUGCCGGAGUUUCUCGACGGCUAACAGAACAGAGUAAAUGGUUUAGUUGGUAUGUUGUUGUAUACUGUUUGUAUUCAUCCUGAAACCCUAAUUUAUUCAAAAACCCUUUUCAUCCCAUUACUGUUGUUAUUCAAAUUGAUUCUAUAGAAACUUCAUAAAAAUUGUAUUUUUAUUUUUGGGUAUUGGAAAAUGGCUGUUCCAAGUUCUGUUUUGAAGGUAGAGGAAAUUCUAGGUAGAGGAAGAGGAAUUGUUGCAUCUCAACCUCUCAAAGCUGGUCAAAUCAUCCUCACAGAUUCACCAAUCCUUCUCUACCCUACCACCCCCUUUUCUCAUCACUCUUCUUCCUUCUGUGAUCAUUGCUUCAAAUCUUUACAUUCAUCAUUUGUUUCAUGUUCUUCUUGUAACCGAUAUCGCUUUUGUGAUUCAACUUGUCUCUCAAAAGCACUCAAUUCAUCACAUUCCACAUGGGUUUGUCAAGCAUUAUCUCAGCUCCAAAGCAAUCCUCUUUUGCUGCAACAACCCCUCGAACGUCAACUUCAAGCGCGUUUUCUUGUUGCUGCUUACAAUCUUGCUAUUACCACCCCUUCAAAUUUUCAAAUUUUGUUAUCUCUACAGGGUUCUCCUGAUAAUGAUGAAGCAGCAAACUUCCUACACCCCAUUAUUGCAUCCCUUCUUUCGCACCCUCAUAAUGAAUUGUUUUCGUUACAACUUACUUCUUCGCUGCUUGCUAAAGAUAAGCUUAAUGCUUUUGGUUUAAUGCAUCCUUUCUCUGAAACCGAUGAAAAUAGGUCUGUUAGAGCUUAUGGCAUUUACCCUUAUGCCUCGUUUUUCAACCAUGAUUGUCUUCCUAAUGCGUGUAGAUUUGAUUAUGUCGAUGUUAAUCCACCUUAUGAUGUCGCGGCCGGUCUUAGUAAUACUGAUUUUGUUAUUAGGAUGAUUCAUGAUGUUCCUCAAGGUAGGGAGAUUUGUUUGAGUUAUUUUCCUGUUAAUGAGAACUACUCUAGUAGGCAGAAGAGAUUGUUGGAAGACUAUGGUUUUGCGUGUAAUUGUGAUCGAUGUAAUGUUGAAUCAAAUUGGUCUGAUAAUGAGAGUGUUGAAGGAAAUGUGGAGGAGGAUGAAGAAGAGGAUAUGGCUAUGGAUGAUGAAGAGGAGGAGGAGCAAUGUGAAAAUAUGGAACCAUCAGAAACUGACAAUAACGAUUUCCCACAUGCUUAUUUCUUUUUGAAAUACAUGUGUGAUGGAACAAAUUGCUGGGGAACUUUAGCUCCUCUACCACCACAGGGUGAUACAUUAUCUAAUGUCAUGGAAUGUAAUGUCUGUGGGAAAUUGAAGAGAGAUGAUGACGACUUGAAUGUUGAUGAUAAAGGGCAAAGUGGAGAAGUUCACAUGGAGGACUGAGCAGUUAGGAUGCAACUUUUGUGAGUCUUUCUGCAUUCCUCUAAAUGUUUUAGCAUUGAUGUAUUGUACGCGUUGUUGCAUGUAGAUGGAGGGAAUUCUUCCAGGAUUUUCUGCAUAUUAUACUAAAUUCAAGCAGAGACAAAUGCUCAAAGCUCAGGAAUCAAAUGAUACUUUUACUUAUGUUUGUUUUUUUUAUUUUAAGAGUUCAAUGUUAUGUUUUAUGCUCAGGUUUGUUGCUUUAUUCCAAAUUCUGCUGUAAAAUUUUGCCUGCAAAAUAUUAUGAUCUCAGUUUUGAAAUAUACUUUUGUUUGGAUAAUGACAAUAGUCUCUUGCUUGAGAGUUGAGACAAUGUUCUGCAGUA